rnacentral:rRNA from 1 species
GACGAACCGUGCGAACGUUAUUCGGAAUCACUGGGCUUAAAGGGCGCGUAGGCGGGCCAUCAAGUCAGGGGUGAAAGCCCCCAGCUCAACUGGGGAAGUGCCUCUGAUACUGGUGGCCUCGAGGGAGGUAGGGGCGUGCGGAACUUCCGGUGGAGCGGUGAAAUGCGUAGAUAUCGGAAGGAACACCGGUGGCGAAAGCGGCGCGCUGGACCUCUUCUGACGCUGAGGCGCGAAAGCCAGGGGAGCGAACGGG